GAGCAAGGCGGGCAGCUACCAUGCAGUCGAGCGGUAACAGAUCCAGCUUGCUGGAUGCUGACGAGCGGCGGACGGGUGAGUAAUGCAUAGGAAUCUGCCCGAUAGUGGGGGAUAACCUGGGGAAACCCAGGCUAAUACCGCAUACGUCCUACGGGAGAAAGGGGGCUUCGGCUCCCGCUAUCGGAUGAGCCUAUGUCGGAUUAGCUAGUUGGUGAGGUAACGGCUCACCAAGGCCACGAUCCGUAGCUGGUCUGAGAGGAUGAUCAGCCACAUCGGGACUGAGACACGGCCCGAACUCCUACGGGAGGCAGCAGUGGGGAAUAUUGGACAAUGGGGGGAACCCUGAUCCAGCCAUGCCGCGUGUGUGAAGAAGGCCCUCGGGUUGUAAAGCACUUUCAGCGAGGAAGAACGCCUAGCGGUUAAUACCCGCUAGGAAAGACAUCACUCGCAGAAGAAGCACCGGCUAACUCCGUGCCAGCAGCCGCGGUAAUACGGAGGGUGCAAGCGUUAAUCGGAAUUACUGGGCGUAAAGCGCGCGUAGGUGGCUUGAUAAGCCGGUUGUGAAAGCCCCGGGCUCAACCUGGGAACGGCAUCCGGAACUGUCAAGCUAGAGUGCAGGAGAGGAAGGUAGAAUUCCCGGUGUAGCGGUGAAAUGCGUAGAGAUCGGGAGGAAUACCAGUGGCGAAGGCGGCCUUCUGGACUGACACUGACACUGAGGUGCGAAAGCGUGGGUAGCAAACAGGAUUAGAUAGCUGUUUGGAGGUC
rnacentral:rRNA from 1 species